rnacentral:tRNA from 1 species
AAUUAAUGAACUUGUUAAGUAAUUGUUUUGAAAACAGUAUAAAGAAUUUAAAAAUUCUAUUAAUUU